ensembl:lncRNA
AUUGGAUGGUAAAAGUAAUAACUGCCAACAGAUGUUCAACCAAGCCUGAUGUGCUAUGUCAAGGUCAGAAUCAAACCUGGAAUGUGAAAUGGGGACAUCUGGUGCGUGCGGCCCACAGCUUUGACUCCCUAAAGUUUCUGAACAUUCUGAGCCUGUAGAAGAGGCCCACCCUCCCUCCAUUAAGACUAGAACUAUUGUCUCUCCCUCCUCUCACGCUAACACAAGGAAAGACAAGAUACAGGUCUUCCCCCCCAUAAGGCAGCAGGCAGCCCUAGGAGCUGUCCCUACCCAUCUCCCAGCUACCAGGCAUUUACCCAAGGUUAAGUCACAGAAUAACCUGGCAGAAGCCAAGCUGGGCCUGAUGAAGAGAUGGACAAUGUGCCAAGGUUGCCACAUGGCUAGCCAGCAUGUCCUGUCAGGGCCCGGGAGAAUACCCUUGGGACCAGGCUUUAGUCUUGGUCAAAGAUGCCAGGACACAAGACUGAAAAAGGGAAAGUUUGACUUGGGAAUAUUGCUCAGAAUACAGCAUUGAAGGCCAUGAAUAAAACUCCAGGGGACAGAGCAAACUCACUGCUUUAGGGCCAUGCCUAGUAGCCAGAAAAAAGUAAUAGAAAUGUUGGAAUGCCUGAACUGCUGGGAGAGGUAACAGAGGAAGGCAGUCUCACGGAAGGGGCGUGCUGGAAUGUGUAUAGCACAUGUGGCAAGGAGGCCUGUCAGAUUUUUGUCUUAGUCUAUUUGGGCUGUUCUAACAGAUCAUCAUAGACUCAGUGGCUUAAACAAAGAGAAAAGUAUUUCUUAUGAUUCUGAAGGCUGAGGAUUCCAAGAUCAAGGUUCUGGCUGAAUAAGUGCCUGGUGAGGCCCACUUCCAGGCUUGUAAUAGCCAUCUUCCUCCCACCUUCUCACACAGUGGAGAGGGAGAGGGGAUCCCUGGUCCCUUUCUCUUCUUGUAAGGACGCUAGUCCUACCUGGGGAUUCCACUCUCAUGACCUCACCUAAACCUAAUCAUCUCCCAAAGGCCCAUCUCCAAAUAUUAAUACCAUCACUUUGGGGGCCAGGGCUUCAACAUCUGAAUUUGAGGGGGAAGACAAUUCAGUCCACAGAAACUGUGUUCCAUGGGAGGGUUCAGAAGACCCACCAUUUACUA